AGCUGGCUAUAAGACAGAACAGGGUGCAGCUGGUACUUUUUUCUCUGUGGGGUUAGGCUUGUACCUGCCCUUUGAGAUAGGGAAGUGUUGUCAGAGCACAGAUGUUUAGUUCUUCAGUGAAAACCUCCAGAAAAUGUGAUUCUGCUCAACCUCAAGCUGGAUUGCCUCUUCUGAGGGGAAAGGUGCUCAUGUUGGCUGGCUUUGGUUGCUUCCUUGGUUUCUUGAGGCUGGAGAGCUGGAAGUGCUGCUGGCGAUAACUGCUGUUAAUGGCCUGAUGUGAUAAGCUGCUGGCUUCUAAAUCCCCGUCACUUUGUCAGCACCCUUGUGCCUCACGGAAUGGAGAGCUGCCAGACUGGUGUAUCAUCUCCCUGGGGCCUGCUGCCCACAUACCAGACUGCACUAUCCUUCUGGAAAGGCAACUGCAGGACCUCCUAUAUUACUGUUCAGCUCCCCUGCAUCUGGCAAAUGUCAUUCUUUGGGAUUAAAAAUUCCUUUUCAGAUGGGGGGCCUGAGCAAGAGUGUGUAUGCAGAAAAGUGGAGAAUAUGAAACAAGCUGAGAGCUGGUCUGGUGGCUCAUUUCCUCGUGAAAAGUCCACGCUCUGGUCUGUUUGGCUGCAGCUGACUGUGUGCGGGCAGAGCUUUAACAGCUUGGCGCAAUUUGGCUUGCAAGAAGUCAUUCAUGUGAGCGUGAAAAUAAUGUAAGCUUCUUGUUGCAGUUGUUGAAAUCCUACCACAAGGAGUGGAUAAUGGAUCUUGGGACUCUUAAUCAAGCACGUUGUAGUCACAUCUGUCAGCUGACGCUGGGCUGCAGAAAAGCACCUUAUGCUUCCCAACGACUUCUAAAUCAGAGACAACUGGAACAAUUGUCCCAGUGCGUGGAUUUGAUGUGAGCAGACUCCUCCCAGCUUUUGAUGUGAUGCUCUGAUUUUCUACUUUCAUGUCUUCAGAUCCCAUCUGCAUAGGUACAGUGAACUUACAAUGAAUGAACCGUACUGUGUGACUCGUACUGAGCUGACCUACCUUGAACAAGCAAACUAACAAAUGUCCCUGUUUCAAAAAGGGGGAUGUUUCCCACUCUAGUAGAAAAUUGAUUUAGUGAUGCUCCCCUCCCCAGCUGGCUCUCUGCCAUUUUGUUAUGUAGUGUAGGUUCAACAUUAAUCUAACCUGCUUUAUUCCAUAAAACUCCAAACAAUAAUUUGACCUGUUCUCUCUAAAAUCACAAUGGUAUAGCGAUAUACGAGUAUCUUUCAACGCUGUCUAGCUAACUCCUAAAUUAAUUCAUUCUUCCACCUUUCUGGAAGUCGGCCAAAGAGAUUUAUGGGUAUGCAUGGCUCUGCUACUCAUCAAUAUUGGAUGUGGAGAUGUCUGUCUGGCACAUCUCUGUUUCUGGCUGAUCUCAGGGAUAGAGAUCAACUAAGAAGAGCCUACUACUUUUAUUAAGAAGGAAUUAAUCUUUUGGGGCACUUUCCCUUGACGGCGGUCAGAUUUCCAGUUUCCAAAUAUAGUACAUGGACUGGAUUGAGUCAGAAACCCUUUCAGGAUACACGCUGCUCUGCAGCCCACAGGAGGGUGGGGAGUGCCAGCUUUCUAGAUGAGAUUACAGCACAUGGCAUUGAAACACAGGACCAUCUCACAAGCAAACAAAUUACUGCUGUGAUGAACUAAAGGGUGCCUUUCCAGUGGAUUUGUUGAUUUAGGGCAAGGAAAAAAUCCUCCUUUAAACCACUAGAAUUCAUUUGUCUUAGGACCAAUUGAAGAUUAAAUUCUAUUAAUCGCUCUUAAUGUGCUCUUGCAGAAUUUCUUAUCUUCAUUAUAAAGAUAUCUCAGUUCGUAUCUUCUUUGGGAAUCUAGGUAAAAUAUAAUUUGAUAUGGCCAUUGCUGUAUCUAAAUUCCAGAGUAAUUGAGUAUUUUGUCAUAUGCAAUUUCUAGAUGACAAACUGCACCUGUACUGUUCUAGGUUUUAUCUAGAGCGUUCAAUAUUGCCUUCCUUUCCACUUCACUGAAAACAUGCAAGUAGUUCUUUAGCUACAUUUAAAACAAAAAAAAAUAUAUUUACAGUAAUUGCUCAGAUACUUUGUCAGUUUUGCUUUAAUUAAGCCCCUGUCACUUGUUGCUCUGCAACAUGUAAUUCCCACUAUGUCAUGACAAAUUUAGUUUUCAGCUGCUGCAGGGAAUGUUAAUGUGAACACAUCAAUAUUCAUGUGUCUUGACAGAUCGUGAGGUUUAAUAAAUUGCUUUCUAUAAAAUAAUUUUUGUGAAAUCAGGGGUGUUCUUGUAAUAGCACAAAGGAAGCCUGAGGUUGAGGUCUGAAAAAAAAAAAAACAUUUGCUUUUCACUGUAUCUAAAAAUUAAUAAAU